UCCAGAGGCUGUGGGGUGAUGGCAGCUCUCCCGCACCUCCGCGCGUCCGCAGGGCCUCAGCUGGCUGCCCGGGGCAGGGGCGCCCACGACGCAGGUGCUAGAGUGUGGGGUGGCGGCGCCCCCAGGCUCCAGGGUCCUGGCCCACACACUCUGCCCACUUGCAAGCCUGCACCUGCGCACACGGCUGUGCGUGUCCCUUUCAGCUGGAGCUGGAGGAGCCGGGACCGUGUGGCCAGGUGGGCCUGAGUCCACGACUGUGUUGUCUUUCUGUGAGAGACAACUGGCGCCUGGAGGUGGGGAGAAGGCAGGGACUUCCUUCCGCAGCCAGCGCAAAUGGGCUGAGUGUCAGCAGAUGAGAGCCACUGCUCAGAAUCCUUGCUGGGCUUUGACCCCAACGACUCCCUGUCAAGGAUUACACCUCCCAGUACCACAGUGAACAAAAGUGGCACCAGCGGGCAUCCUUGUCUUGUCUCUCAUCUUAGAGGAAAAGCUCUCAGGUUUUCACCGUUGACUUUGAUGAGUGCUUGGGGUCUGCUGCAUAUGGCCUUCGUCAUUUGAGUGUGAUUUUGUUCCGGUAACCUCAUUUUCUGUAAUACCUACAAACCUUUUGAGACGAACAGGUGAGCUUUCAGGAUUGGUAAAGGUAGGUGGGCUUUGACUCACUUGUAGAUUUGCAUUUCUGGUUUUGUAGGGUUUGCAAGACAGAGAGGCACUGGGUGACAGCCUGGAUGUCACAGGACGGCCCAACUUUCUAACCUCGCUUGGCUUCUUCACAUCAGGGAGAACGCCAACCGAGACGGAGCCCCUGAGGCCGACCGUUGGACUUGUCAGACAACUGAGAAAUCUCGACAGAGAAUUUGUCUUCUCUCAAAUACAGCCACUUUGAAGGGUCUGUCAUCGGGCCAGUGACGAGGAGGAUCCUACUAAUCUCAGCAAGGACUCAAAGCAAUAAGCUAUGAGAAAUACCUGGAGGCCACUUGCCAGGCUCACCAUGGACACGAGAGGCAUCUCUGAAAGGGACACAGGUGACGUGGCUCAUGCGAGCCACACGUUUACUCCUGGGAAUAGUCUAAGAAAGCAAAGGCCUCGGUCCCCAGGCAGUGAGGACGGUGUGUGAAACACGCUGUCUCCGGUCUCCCAUGGACAUGAGAGGCCUCCAACCACCGUCCUGCUCACCUGUGACAUGGGGCAGGUGCCGCUGGAAGGGGACUCUUCCAGCACUCACAGACACGGAGUUGAGAGGACAGGCCCCUGAUGUGCUGGUGCCUCUCGUGCCAAACCCCGCAGGGAGCUGGCACAGCCAGACAGCGUGCUGCCCGUUGACCAUGCACAGAGGGAAGCCCCUCACUGGGCCAGAGGGCCAAGGCCAGAGAACAUUGCCACUGCUCCCGAAGCCAGGCUCUCGGGACAUGGAGCCACAUGGAGGGAAGCCCCGCAUUGGGUUUUCAGCCAGGGAACCCACUGCGCCAACGGGCUGCUUUCCACUGGGGAUGUGCCCGUCGAUGUGCCUUGAACCACAGGCUCAAGGUCCUGUGGCUGCGUGUCUCCCUAUGGAGAGUCCUCUUUAGGACAAAUGUGCAGAUAACAAAACCGUGACGAUCUCUGGGAGGAAACAGUGAGUUGGCCAAGAGAACUCAACCAAAUUCACCAGAGUCGCUAAGCCCAAGGAACUAGCUCUGCAACUAUUUUCUCCUGCAGCUUACGUUUAGGAAGCAAGAGAGAAGGGACUCGCACAACUCUUGUUUCUGUCCGACCCAGAGGCCGACCCAGGAAGGGUCUGGUCUGGCUCUGUGUUGUGACUCAGGUUAAUGGAGAGGAAUCGCUAUGCCAAUGUGCACAUUGUUGGGUGCCCGGCCCCUCUAUAGGUGUUGGAGGAGGUCAGGGCCUGGAAUCAUCCAGAUUCCUUGGACACAUGCUUGCCCCUUCCGGGUCCAGCCCCUCUCGACCCUGGUGUUGUUUUAGGUCCCUGGCUAAACGAAGCUGUGCAGCAGCGCUGGUGCCCUACACACACAGCAGCCAGCCUCGGCAGCCAGGACACUCCAGGCCUGUGGAACUCAGGCUGUUCCGCCAAUAGCAUAGCCUCCAAGGCAGGGGAAUGCCCGGAAAAUCUUCCUGUCGUGGCAGCUUUAGGCUGACAGCAGUCACUCCCUCUGUGGACUGGCUGCCUGACGAGGGCCCUGGUGACCCCAGCUACCAAGGCUCCCAGGUGUCUUUUUGGCGCUAAUUGCCAGGAUUGUUCCUCCAGCUCUGCCUUCACAGGGAGAAGGCACAUGUGUAAGGGUUAGGGCUUGAGAGAGGCAGGUGCCUCCUGCUGCCGACAGCUGCACCGUGAUCAGGCUUCGACUGUGGCAGGUCCCUGGCCACCCUGAGUAUCGAUGCAAGUGUGUGAAAAACAUACCCCGUUGGCCAACCAUAGGCAGCUGGGACAUGCAUGGCCCCAGGGUGGAGGGAGCACAGCCCCCAAAUCUUUCUGAAGAUUCCUUUAAACUAGGAAAAGUCAGCCACCAUUUCAAGUGGCCGUUUGAUGGGGUCCCGGGCUUAGCACUCAUCAGGGUUCCAGGAGUCUCUUGGUGAAGGGGACCCCAGCAGCCAGACAGGCCCCCUCCUGGCCAGGCAGUCCAGCUCCUGCCCUGGCACCUGUGUGGGAUAGGGCUUGGAAGGAGCAGAGGACCCAUGACCCAGGCUCUCCUGACACUUGCUCUGUUUCAGGGCAGUAGAUGCAGAUAAAACAUUAGACAAAAUUCAGCACCAAUUUAUGAUAAAACCCCGGCAAUCUGGAAGUAAGGGGGAACUCCCUCAGCUUAAUAAAGAGCAGCUAACAUUAUACUUUAUAAUCAGGAACAAGGCAAAGAUGUCCUCUCCCACCGCUGCUUUUCAACAUCAUAAUGAGAGAUGAUGAGGGAGGGUGGGCAGGUGAUGAUGAUAACUGACUUAGUGGAGGGACAAGCCCAGCUACUCCAACUAGAUGAGAAUAAGAUCCCAAAUUCUCAGCAAGUUACUUGGUGGAUGUCAACACAUGGAUUCUAGUUUAUAUGGAGAAGAAAAGAUCCAGAAUAGUCAGCUCCAUCUUGAAUGACCAGAAGGAGGCAAGAGGACUGGCCCUAUGACACCACCCAAUAUCCAGAGCCUCUGGGAAGUGACAGGGAUGGAGACAGUGAGGUCCUGCUGAACGGACAGAUCAACGGGGCAGAAAAUGAGCUACAACAUAGUCCAUUGAUCGCUGCCAGCGGUGUAAAGACCGUACGACAGAACAAAGAUGGGCUCUUCCAUACAUGGCACUGGGACAGCAGAACAACCAAGUGCAAAAAAAUAAAGAACCAUUAUAGAGGUUCUUUACACCCAUUAUAAAAUUACCUCAAACUGGAACACUGACCCAAGGGUAAAACACAAAAUGACACGCUGCUUAUCAUUCUGCUUUGUAGAUCUCAUAUUUUCUACACAUUGAAGGUGUGUGGCAACCCUGUGGCACCAAGGCCAUCAGUGACGUUAUUCCUAUGGCAUUUGCUCACUUCUUGUCUCUGGCCCCAUGCUGGGGAUGCUCACCAUAUACCAAAUGCUUCCACUGUUACGCUGCGUGUUCUGGUGAUCUUUGACGUCACUACUGUAAUUGUCUGGGGCACCUGUAUCCAUAAUGACGAACUUCGUAUGUGCUGUGUGUGUGGUGACCGCUCCAUCCACUGCCGUCCCCAUCUCCCUCCUUCUCCUCUGGCCUCCUGGUCUCUGAGACACAACGGUACUAAACCGAGGCAGCUAGUGAUCCUACUGUGGCUUCUAGGUAUUCAGGUGAAAGAGCUGCAUGCCUCUCGCCGUAAAUCAAAAGCUAGACAUGAUUAAGCUCAGUGAGGAAGGCAUGUUGACAGAGAGAUAUGCUGAAAGCCAGGCCUCUUGUACCAAACAGACCAGUUGUGAAGGAAGAGUAACGUUCUGGAAGAAACUGAAAGAGCCACACCAGUGAGCACAUGAAGGAUACGUUGGCACCAGCUAAUGAGGAUUCUGGUGCACACCAGGGUGUCACCAUGCACAAGGGGCUGCAACACAGUCAGCAGGGACUGAAAUCACAAAUAUGCUUUAUCGCGGUGGGUUUUACACGGAGAUGUUCCCGGGUGCUGAGAACAGAUACCAACUGCCUCAACGCCCGCCCCCUCCCCCCAGGUCUCUCCGAAACCCCACAAACAGCAGACAGAGCCACUACCAGAAAAUACACCAACAAUCCGUCAACUCCAGGGGCCGAAUCUGGCGUGGGCAAAGCAGAGCCCUGAUGGACAGAGGGGAACUAGUCCUGAGCACAAGUCCUGACAGGGAGAUGGCACAUUUCUGAGCAGGACACAGAUGGGAGGUCGGCCCUCUGCAUCAGCUGAGGAGAUCCCAGCUGUGCCAGUAGCAGACCUGCUGGAACUUGUCCACGCUCCAGCAGUUUGCACUGGGGACCUUCUGCUCUCUGGGAAACCCCAAUCGCUGGAGAAGCAGGAUAUGCAGGGAUGCAUCAGUGGAAACCUCCACUUGGCUCUCCACAAGGAUCAGUGAAGCACCAGAACACCACUCGCUUGCACACUGACCUGGAGGAAGAAGAUUGGACAGAACCACUAACUGGCACCUGGUAUUAGAACCCAGCAACUCCACCAGGUACCGGCUUUUGUACUUCUCCCUUAUCUCACCCGACUGAAUUGAAUGUAGCAUUGGGCACAAGGCAGAGACUCUGAAAACACCCCCAAUUUAAUUCCUGAUUUACUUUGUGUGCUAGCAUUUCAUUGUAGAAGAGCAGCUGCUGAAUCUGCCUAAAGGGCAAUUAGAUCUUUAAACAGAAAUAGGCAAAAAAAAAAAAAUCAUUUAUCACUCCCAACUUGCAACAUUUAAUCCAUAGUCACCAAUUAGAACGUUAAUAAUAGAUCCAUGACACGAAG